rnacentral:rRNA from 1 species
CUGCUGCCUCCCGUAGGAGUCUGGGCCGUAUCUCAGUCCCAAUGUGGCCGGCCAACCUCUCAGUCCGGCUACUGAUCGUCGCCUUGGUGGGCCGUUACCUCACCAACUAGCUAAUCAGACGCGAGGCCAUCUUCCAGCGAUAAAUCUUUGACAUCAGUGCCAUGCGACACCAAUGCGUCAUGCGGUAUUAGCAGUCGUUUCCAACUGUUGUCCCCCUCUGGAAGGCAGGUUCCUCACGCG